CCUCCACCCCCUCCCAUAUCUCCAGAUUGUCUGGAUGACACUGAUGCUCUGGGCAGUAUGCUAAUCUCUUGGUACAUGAGCGGCUAUCAUACUGGCUACUAUAUGGGUUUUAGACAAAAUAAAAAGGAAGGAAAGAGCUCACCCACAAAUUAAGCAGUUCAGCUCUCUCCCUAGGAGAUGGUACGUUGGUGUCCCUGGUCCAUAAGAACAGAAGUGUCACCAUCAUCUUUGUGGACUCUUGUUUGAGUGACGUCAUCAGCAUUUUCCCAUUCUGGGGUCCACGCCUGAAUCACCAGUGGAGCGUGUUUAGAGCAUAAAUGGAUUGAGGAGCGAA